rnacentral:rRNA from 1 species
UACGUAGGGGGCAAGCGUUGUCCGGAAUUAUUGGGCGUAAAGCGCGCGCAGGCGGUCCUUUAAGUCUGAUGUGAAAGCCCACGGCUCAACCGUGGAGGGUCAUUGGAAACUGGGGGACUUGAGUGCAGAAGAGGAAAGCGGAAUUCCACGUGUAGCGGUGGAAAUGCGUAGAGAUGUGGAGGAACACCAGUGGCGAAGGCGGCUUUCUGGUCUGUAACUGACGCUGAGGCGCGAAAGCGU